AGUGAACGCUGGCGGUAGGCCUAACACAUGCAAGUCGAACGGCAGCACAGUAAGAGCUUGCUCUUACGGGUGGCGAGUGGCGGACGGGUGAGGAAUACAUCGGGAUCUACUUUUUCGUGGGGGAUAACGUAGGGAAACUUACGCUAAUACCGCAUACGACCUACGGGUGAAAGCAGGGGAUCUUCGGACCUUGCGCGAUUGAAUGAGCCGAUGUCGGACUAGCUAGUUGGCGGGGUAAAGGCCCACCAAGGCGACGAUCCGUAGCUGGUCUGAGAGGAUGAUCAGCCACACUGGAACUGAGACACGGUCCAGACUCCUACGGGAGGCAGCAGUGGGGAAUAUUGGACAAUGGGCGCAAGCCUGAUCCAGCCAUACCGCGUGGGUGAAGAAGGCCUUCGGGUUGUAAAGCCCUUUUGUUGGGAGAGAAAAGCAGCAGGUUAAUACCCCGCUGUUCUGACGGUACCCAAAGAAUAAGCACCGGCUAACUUCGUG
rnacentral:rRNA from 1 species